UGGAUUGCCAUUAACCAUCAGGGAGGUUUACAUCCAACCAGACUAUCCGGUCCGUCUACACCCGUCUCCGGUCCGUCUACAUCCGCCCGAGACUAGUCAAGAUGAAGACUCAUUCAACCGGAGCAUUUAUGAGCUUUGACCAAGACUAUAUCUUUGUGGUCAAUAUGUAAUAAAUGUGUAGAUACUCUCCUUGUUGUAAACCCUUAUGAACCUCCACUAUAUAUUGAUAGUGAGAGCUAAUGAGAAAUACACAACUUUCAAAGCAACACUUCUCUCAUAUUUCUAACAUUAUUCAUUGUCCCCUUAGGAUAGUAUUAGGGAUUCUUGCCCACUUAGAAAUAAUAUUAAGAGUUUUCAAGUAUUCUCGCCGGCGUCUCUUCGUUCGUUACCUCCACCUCUCUCUUUGGUACAACCUACAACUCUUCAAAGAUCUCUUUGAAGAUGGUGGAAUUGAAAGUUUUCUCUAGAAACAAGAGGGAAAAAUCUAAGGAAACACAAUGCAACAACCGUCCAGCCGAAAUCAAUGCUACAUUUGGAGAUACGUUCAUGACUUGUAGCAGUAGAACCAAGCCAAUUAUUUGUUUCUCAUCACAGCCGACAUUAAACCGACUUAAUAUUGUAGCAGACCAUGCCGUUGUGCUGAUUUUGUUUGCUCUCAUUAGGUCUUGAUGUCAUCAUUGACCUAUCUUUUAUGUGACUGGUUUCUAUUGUUUACAAGUAUGGAAACAUGUUUUGUUGCUCUGCUCUUGCUGUCGAGACGUGUUUCGUUUGGGUACUUUACGGUUUGUUAUAGUUGAGACAACAUUUAUGUACUUGGAAAAAAGGAAAUUAAACUCAGUUUUAUAUUUAUGGAUUUGGAGAAAAAAGAAAACUCAGUUUGAAAAGUCAUGAGGUGAGCAAUCUGUUGGGACCUUGUCAUCAAACUCAUCAGUGGAGUCAAGAACUAUUCGCCUUGUUGGACUUUUUCUUCCCUUUGUUGGCAUACGAUAGUUAAACGCAUAUUCCUUCUCUUUAGCUUCUGAAGCUUUUUAUCAUUACCUUCAUUAUCAUUGACAAUAGAAAGUGAAAUAAGAAAGUGAAGAAAAACGUUGGUGAAGAAGAAGUUUGUAAAUUUAUGGCAAAAAAAUAAAAAAAGGAAAUAAACAAGAUUUAAAAGAUUUUAGGAAUAUUUUUUAACUGUUUUUAGCUAGAUUUUCUGAUUUUGUUUACAAAUCUAGUAGAACUUACAUUCUACCAAAGUUAGAAAAGAGAUGAAGUGGUAGAUGUGAAAAACUGAGAUCGUAGAGAAAGGAAAAAUGUGAAGAAAGUAUGUUCUGCCGAGGCAGAUAUGAUAACUUUUAUUAUGCCUUAUAAUCUACCAAAUAUACAGAACAUAGAAGAAAAUGUAGAUUUGUUAUUCUGUCUUAGUAGGUCGAAAUGUUUUGGUGUAUUGUGCAUUCUACCUUGGGUAGAUCAUUGUGUCUUAGGUAGACUGUAUACUCUAAGUCGUCGUAGAUGGUAGAUUUGAUAUACUAACACCUUUAGCCUAUUUUUAAAUUUACUAUUCCAAAUAUUUUUUGAAUCCAAAAAUAUUUUUUAUAUAUGCACAUUCUUGACUACUUUAUGUUUUAUAUUUUUCUUAAUUUUUUUGCAUUGUAAAUAUAUUGAUAUGAAUUUUUAUUUAUAAGAAGGGUAAUGAAAGUACAAAAGUGACAAAAUUUGAUUUUGUACUAAGGUGACAAUAGUUUAGUUUACUUGUUCCGUUUUCCCAAAAUUCCUAUAAAUAAAAGGUUGGACCACCAUAAAAAUUUAUACUAUUUUAAGGAAUAAGUAAAAGGUGUAUCAGGUAAGCGCAGUCAGAGAGCUAUGGAAAGUAGAGAACUUUACUGAAUAUUUCUGAAGUUUAUUAUUCUCCAACUUGAAGAUACAAGAGUGACUCUAGGUUUAUUUAUACAAAGGUUUGACAGGUGUCUCUGACAACUCAGUCAUCCUUAUCCUUCAGAGUGUCGUAUCUGUUGCUGAGCUGCAUCUUGGGAGGCGAGGGUUCCCUACCUUUGGCUGCUUUGCCUUUCUCCUUGACUGAAGUUGUGACCGUUGAAGAUGUUUGUUUUGUAGCCGAAGAUGCAAUGGGCUUUAUCUGAGUGAAGCCCAUCGUCUUAACAUCUUCUGGUCCACUGGGCUUAAUAUCAAGGACAGGUUUGUACCAGUGAGUCGUGACUGACUUAUAGCAUGAUUAAUGGGAGAUUCUUGGGGUGAAGUUUUAAGCGGAAUAUAAGAACCCGUCUCUUAACUUUUAAUUAAAAAAGCUAAGUACCGGCUCUUAAAUGUUUUACUUAAGAACCGGUUCUUAGUUUUUUUUAGUUAGAGCACCAUUAACCCUAAGAGGUUAAUUUGGGUUCUUAAUGAUUUUUUAGUAAUUAAUAAUAGUUAAGAGAUUGUACUUAAGAGACACUUAAUUUGUUAGGUCCAAUGGGAGUUCUUAUUUUUGGAUUCUUAAGAAAAAAAAAUAUUAAACUAAAAUAUUUUUAAAGAUAAAAUUAAUUUAUUAAAUAUAAAAUAUUAAAAUAAAACAUUUUAAACAUUAAUUAUUAAAAAGAACAUUAAAACUAAGAUUAGUAAAAUAAACGAGAAUAACUUGAAAGAAACAUGCGAGCUUAGUUGUUGUCCUGACCACGCCCGAAUUUACGCCAUACAUGUUCAACCAAAUCAGCUUUGAGUUGUUCAUGCAUGUAUUUAUCACGAAUUCUAGUUCGAACACCCAUCAUAUUGCCGAUAUUUGUAGGGAUAUCAGUAGAGAAUGUGAGAUCGACAUGUGAAAUUCCGAUGUCUUCUCCUUGUUGGAACUCUGAAACAUCAUAUUGAGUGUAUCCAUCUCGUUCGUCUUCUAAAAUCAUGUUAUGGAUUAUGAUACAUGCUCUAAUUAUCUUCCCAAUUUUGCCUUUAUCCCAAAAAAGUGCUGGAUUUUUAACAAUGGCAAAGCGAGCUUGCAAGACUCCAAAAGCACGCUCGACAUCUUUUCGGACAGCUUCUUGGUGUUGAGCAAAUAAAACCGCUUUCGGCCCUUGCGAUAUUGAAAUUGACUAGACAAAAGUUGCCUAUUUUGGAUAAAUACCGUCGGUGAGAUAGUAAGCCAUAUGAUACUCUCUUCCAUUGACAGAGAAGGUGACUUUCGGAGCAUGACCUUUUAUAAUGUCAUCAAAAACAGGUGAGCAAUCAAGAACAUUGAUAUCAUUUAAAUUACCUGGAGGUCCAAAAAAUGCAUGCCAUAUCCAUAGAUCAUACGAUGCAACUGCUUCUAAAACGAUUGUGGGUUUUCCCGAACCACAUGUAUAUUGACCUUUCCAAGAGGUGGGACAAUUCUUCCACUCCCAACGCAUACAA